GGGAUUUCCUCAGUAACGGCGAGUGAAGCGGUAACAGCUCAAAUUUGAAAGCUAGCUCUUUUAGGGUUCGCAUUGUAAUUUGUAGAUGAUGCUUCGGGUGUGGCCCCGGUCUAAGUUCCUUGGAUCAGGACGUCAUAGAGGGUGAGAAUCCCGUAUGUGACUGGGUGCUUUCGCUCAUGUGAAGCUCUUUCGACGAGUCGAGUUGUUUGGGAAUGCAGCUCAAAAUGGGUGGUAAAUUUCAUCUAAAGCUAAAUAUUGGCCAGAGACCGAUAGCGCACAAGUAGAGUGAUCGAAAGAUGAAAAGCACUUUGGAAAGAGAGUUAAACAGUACGUGAAAUUGUUGAAAGGGAAGCGCUUGCAACCAGACUUGCGCGCUGAUGAUCAUCCGGGCUUCUGCCCGGUGCACUCGUCUGCGCUCAGGCCAGCAUCGGUUUUGGUGGUGGGAUAAAGGCCUUGGGAAUGUAGCUCCUCUCGGGGAGUGUUAUAGCCCUCGGUGCAAUGCCGCCURCCGGGACCGAGGACCGCGCUUCGGCUAGGAUGCUGGCGUAAUGGUUGUAAGCGACCCGUCUUGAAACACGGACCAAGGAGUCUAACAUCUAUGCGAGUGUUUGGGUGUUAAACCCAUACGCGUAAUGAAAGUGAACGGAGGUGUGAACCCUUAAGGGUGCAUCAUCGACCGAUCCUGACGUCUUCGGAUGGAUUUGAGUAAGAGCAUAGCUGUUGGGACCCGAAAGAUGGUGAACUAUGCGUGAAUAGGGUGAAGCCAGAGGAAACUCUGGUGGAGGCUCGCAGCGGUUCUGACGUGCAAAUCGAUCGUCAAAUUUGCGUAUAGGGGCGAAAGACUAAUCGAACCA
rnacentral:rRNA from 1 species